CAGUCGCCACGGUAAAACGUAGGGCGCAAGCGUUGUCCGGAAUUAUUGGGCGUAAAGAGCUCGUAGGCGGUCUGUCGCGUCUGGUGUGAAAUCCCGAGGCUCAACCUCGGGCUUGCAUCGGGUACGGGCAGACUAGAGUGCGGUAGGGGAGACUGGAAUUCCUGGUGUAGCGGUGGAAUGCGCAGAUAUCAGGAGGAACACCGAUGGCGAAGGCAGGUCUCUGGGCCGCAACUGACGCUGAGGAGCGAAAGCAUGGGGAGCGAACAGGAUUAGAUACCCCUGUAGUCCCUGUCUCUUAUAU
rnacentral:rRNA from 1 species